UACAGAGGGGGCAAGCGUUAUUCGGAAUUAUUGGGCGUAAAGGGCGCGUAGGCGGCCUGGCAAGUGGAAGGUGAAAUCCCUCGGCUUAACCGAGGAACUGCCCUCCAAACUGCUUGGCUUGAGACCGGGAGAGGUGAGUGGAAUUCCCAGUGUAGCGGUGAAAUGCGUAGAUAUUGGGAGGAACACCUGCGGCGAAGGCGGGUUGCUGGGCCGACACUGACGCUGAUGCGCGAAAGCCAGGGGAGCGAACGGG
rnacentral:rRNA from 1 species